CGGGUGAGUAACACGUAUCCAACCUGCCGUCUACUCUUGGCCAGCCUUCUGAGAGGAAGAUUAAUCCAGGAUGGCAUCAUGAGUUCACAUGUCCGCAUGAUUAAAGGUAUUCCGGUAGACGAUGGGGAUGCGUUCCAUUAGAUAGUAGGCGGGGUAACGGCCCACCUAGUCUUCGAUGGAUAGGGGUUCUGAGAGGAAGGUCCCCCACAUUGGAACUGAGACACGGUCCAA
rnacentral:rRNA from 1 species